rnacentral:tRNA from 2 species
GCCGCUAUAGCUCAGAGGUAGAGCACAUCAUUGGUAAUGAUGAGGUCGCAGGUUCAAUUCCUGCUAGCGGCACCA